rnacentral:lncRNA from 1 species
CUUUUCUUAAUAAUCCCUGAGGUUCUACUUGUUUGGUUGGUUUUUUUAAACUCACAUCUGAGCAUUGAUUUUUUUCUGAGUUGUCUAUGGAAGAUUUUAUCUAAUUUUCUGCAUCUUCAGUAACUUGUAGCAAUGAAUUUCUAUGAUUUUUCUUUGGGUCAGUUAUACUUUCUUCUAUUAGCUUUCAGCCUGACACACAUAUUAUAUUCAUCUGACACAAAGACACUCAAAGAGAAAAGGUGGUUGCAAUGUCCCAGUAGAUGAUGCUCUAUAAUGCUGGCACUUCUUGUGUGUUUUGAAAUGACAAAGAGGUCUCACACCUGAACUUCCAAAUUUCCAUUCUGAUCUCAAAUGAGCAUAAACAUCCCUUCAGAUUUUUUUCCCACAUAAUCAUUUCAACUGGCUUUAAAUCUUCCAUUUUAUGCACAGAUCCCUAAGAACAGUGGUAAAACAGCUGAAAAACACCUUCUGUCAUAAUCAAGCCAGAAGAAGACCAGCUGUUUUACACAGACUUGUGCCCACACAGAAGAAGUUCCAGCCUUUUCCAUGCACCUUGUUGCCAAGCUUUGUCAUCUAUGACUCCAUCAAGUCCUCUGACUUAAUUCGAGGUCCCUGCUCUUCAGUUUCCCUAUGCCUCCGUCAUCAGUGCUCCUUCCUCUCCACUCUAGUCUCACCACUUCUUGCAUGUGAAUUUAGCAGUUUCCUCCACCUUGCCUCCACAUCAGCAGGCACACCCUGCCACAGAAGACACUGAGACACUCAACUGAGAUGGUCAUCAUGCUCCCUCCUUAUGCUGCUCAAUGUAACAGGGGGGGGAGAAGUCCACUUGGACCUUCAGCCACCAACUGGAGUGCUCUCAUUCUUCCCAGGAAGAUGAGCAGUUGCUCAGCACGUAAUAAUUAUCUCACGUUCAGCGAGCUCCAUGCUGAGAGUGUCUUCAGCAAGUGUAAUGGCCAAGCCCUUAACAUCCCUCCACCGAGAGCACGUUGUGACAAAAUGAUAACUGAGACAAAUUCUGGAAGCUUUUCAUAGGCUCAACAUAAGGCACACCCCCGUCACAAGAUUGAUCCCAAGCCAAGUAUCUUUUUCCUGCUCCAAAACACGAAGCCACAAGAAUUCAACAGUCUCAAUGAAACUGUUUUCUCAACUUAGCCAAAAAACGCAGAUUCACAGAAAAAGAAAGAGCAAGGUCUCCUAAUGCAGGAUGAUGCAUACCUAAACCAUCUUCGUCAGAUGCGUGGCCAAAGAAUACACUUCCCUCUUAACCACAUUCUCAGAAAUAGCUGAACCCUUUCAGCUGAAACUUCCCAAAGAGAGCCUGUCUUCAGCAAACACUCAACCUGGAAAAUGUCAGCCUGGUUGUAAGCUUACCGAAUGCAGAAGCACCUGAAAGCAGAGCAUUGUACUGGAAAGCACUAGAUAAUUUCAACGGUGGACAACACUGCUGCCUGUGAUAAAAUAACAACUCCUUCAAGUGCUUUUCCAUGCUCUGGGCUAGGAAACGGGGCAAUAGCUGUAAUUCUGCCAAGUCCAGUCGGUGGGUUCAAUCCUGCACACACAGGGCAGCACCUUUUAUCGGGGAGGGAAAGCAAUUUUAGGCAAGCUUACUGUCUCCAGGCUUCGGAGCAGGGCACAGAGGUGCUGCCAGUUUGGGGAAUCACCCUGGUCUUGGAUAUCUGGCUCUGGAAAACCUUCGUUUUCACGUGUUCAGGGGAGACAGCACGCAGCUUGGCAAUUAUAUUCUCUGAAUACUC